GCUGGGCAUGGUGGUUCAUGCCUGUAAUCCCAAAACUUUGGGAAGCUGAGGUGGGAGGAUUGCUUGAGCCCAGGAGUUCAAGACUGGCCUGGGCAACAUGGCAAGACUCUGUCUCUACAAAAAUACAAAACUUAGCCAGGUGUGGUGGCACGCACCUGUGAUUCCAAUUACUUGGGAGGCUGAGGCAGGAGAAUAGCUUGAGCCCCAGAGGUGGAGGCUGCAGUGAACCGUGAUUUUGUGAUUGUGCCAGUACACUCCAGCCUGGGCAACGCAGCAAGACCCUGUCUCA
ensembl:misc_RNA Metazoa_SRP Metazoan signal recognition particle RNA